AUACCUCACAGGGGGAUUACCACAAUCAAAAAAGUGGUUUCCACAGGGUGAGGUUCUUCCAUUGCACACUUCGGCUGGGUUGACCACUGCGAUUUCUCCAAAUGUGGAAAGCUCAACUGCAUGACUUAUGGUAGUAGGGGACUGUGUUCACACAGUCCCCUG